rnacentral:rRNA from 1 species
GACGAACGCUGGCGGCGUGCUUAACACAUGCAAGUCGAACGGAAAGGCCCUGCUUUUGUGGGUUGCUCGAGUGGCGAACGGGUGAGUGACACGUGAGUAACAUGCCCUUAACUGUGGGAUAACUUCAGGAAACUGGGGCUAAUACCGGAGAGGAUCUCCUGAUGCAUGGGGGGGGUUGGAAAGUUUCGGCGGUUGGGGAUGGACUCGAGGGUUAUGAGCUUGUUGGUGGGGUAGUUGAUUACCACGGCUUUGACGGAUAGCCUGCAUGAGAGGGUUAACGCCCACAUUGGGACUGAGAGACGGACCAGACUGCUAUGGGAGGCAGCGGUGGGGAAUAUUGCACAAUGGGCGGAAGUGUGAUGCAGAAACGCCGCGUGCGGAAUGACGGCUUUCGGGUUGUAAACAGCUUUCGCCUGUGACGAAGCGUGAGUGACGGUAAUGGAUAAAGAAGCACCGGCUAACUACGUG